UUAACUAUUAUAUAGUACUCAGACGACACUAAUAUUCAGAGUUUUGGGAUCCUUUGGCGGGCACUCACCAGCCGGAGCCAGUAGCCGAAGCGGCCCGCCAAAGCAACAAAGGUAUAGUAUUCAAGGGUGGGAGAUCUACCCAUAAGGGCAUGAACUCUGUAAUGAUCCUUCCGCAGGUUCACCUACGGAAA
rnacentral:misc_RNA from 1 species